GUGCCACACAUCUGAGAAAAACCAAAUUGACAACAUGGUUCCAUUUCUGUCAUCAAAAAUGAACACUUCUGACCCACAGCUACAGUGUUUAAACCCAGCAUCUUCAAUCAGGCAAAAAAGUCUUAAUUUGGGUAAAGAGCGAGGCUUACUUACCAGAUUGCUUCCUUGACUUUCUGCAACUUCUAAGAGGACAUAAGGUCUCUCCUCCGCUUUCCUCACAGGUAGCAAACCUGGUUGUCUUACCCUAAGUAGCUGCUUGUUUUUUAAAAAACAGAGUUGUCAUUUGUGUACUGAGGGCCACUUUUCUGAGGCAAGUGACAAAAUGAAGGGAAACAUCUUGUGACCUUUUUUGUUUUACACUGUUUGGGAUGGAUUUCUUGUCGAUGGGGAGGGCUGAGGAUUCUGACACAUACUAAUGUUUAUUUGUUUAAAACAAAGAGUACCGUCUUCAGGCUGAUGAGUAAUUGAAUAAAAGGUCAUA